rnacentral:rRNA from 1 species
AUACAUAGGGGGCGAGCGUUAUCCGGAUUUAUUGGGCGUAAAGGGUGCGUAGGCGGUAAAUUAAGUCUAAGGUUAAAGUGCAGGGCUCAACCCUGUGAUGCCUUAGAAACUGGUUUACUUGAGUUUGGUAGAGGUAAGUGGAACUCCAUGUGUAGCGGUAAAAUGCGUAAAUAUAUGGAAGAACACCAGUGGCGAAGGCGGCUUACUGGGCCACAACUGACGCUGAGGCACGAAAGCGUGGGGAGCAAACAGGAUUAGAUACCCUGGUAGUCCACGCUAUAAACGAUGAGUGCUAGGUGUCGGGGGUCAAACCUCGGUGCCGCAGUUAACACAUUAAGCACUCCGCCUGGGGAGUACGGCCGCAAGGCUGAAACUCAAAUGAAUUGGCGGGG